GCCAGCAGCCAUAUCACUCUGCAACUCACAAACCACUGAAGCUAAGCAGGAGUGAGCCUGGCCAGUACCUGGAUGAGAGACCUCCUGGGAAAAACUAAGGUUGCUGCUGGAA
rnacentral:rRNA from 1 species